rnacentral:misc_RNA from 1 species
GAUGAAGAACGUAGUAAAAUGCGAUAAGUAAUGUGAAUUGCAGAAUUCAGUGAAUCAUCGAAUCUUUGAACGCACAUUGCGCCCGCCAGUAUUCUGGCGGGCAUGCCUGUUCGAGCGUCAUUACAACCCUCAGGCCCCCGGGCCUGGCGUUGGGGAUCGGCGGAAGCCCCCUGCGGGCACAACGCCGUCCCCCAAAUACAGUGGCGGUCCCGCCGCAGCUUCCAUUGCGUAGUAGCUAACACCUCGCAACUGGAGAGCGGCGCGGCCACGCCGUAAAACACCCAACUUCUGAAUGUUGACCUCGAAUCAGGUAGGAAUACCCGCUGAACUUAAGCAUAUCAAUAAGCGGAGGA